CAGUCAGGAUGUUGGCUUAGAAGCAGCCAUCAUUUAAAGAAAGCGUAAUAGCUCACUGAUCGAGUCGUCCUGCGCGGAAGAUGUAACGGGGCUCAAGCCAUACACCGAAGCUGCGGAUUGCGCAUCUGACCCAAGCGAUUUCGACGCCCGUCGAGUGUGACGUCGCCCUUGCCGGGGCGCGGGCUUGUCGGUGGGGCGCCAAGCGUUCGUUCUCGCCCGCCGUUGGUGGCGGGUGGGGAGUGGAUCGAGGGCGUCCGGACCGAGAUCGUUUGGAUCAGAUGCGCAAUGGUAGAGGAGCGUUCUGUAGGCCUGUGAAGGUGUCUCGUAAGGGAUGCUGGAGGUAUCAGAAGUGCGAAUGCUGACAUGAGUAGCGUUAAAACGGGUGAAAAGCCCGUUCGCCGAAAACCCAAGGUUUCCUGCGCAACGUUCAUCGGCGCAGGGUGAGUCGGCCCCUAAGGCGAGGCAGAGAUGCGUAGUCGAUGGGAAGCGGGUUAAUAUUCCCGCACCGACCGGUGAUGCGAUGGGGGGACGGAGAAAGCUAACCGAGCCAGGUGUUGGAUGCCCUGGUGAAAGCGUGUAGGCGUGCUGUCUAGGCAAAUCCGGGCGGCUUAGCUGAGGCGUGAGACGGAAGCUCCUUUGGGAGUCCAAGUCGGUGAUGCUCUGCUUCCAAGAAAAGCCUCUAAGCUUCAGUCAUCGGUUGACCGUACCGCAAACCGACACUGGUGGGUAGGAUGAAGAUUCCAAGGCGCUUGAGAGAACUCUGGAGAAGGAACUCGGCAAAUUGAUACCGUAACUUCGGGAGAAGGUAUGCCCUGGUAGCUUGUAGGAGUGCAUCCGAAGGGCGAGAGGGUCGCAGAGAAUCGGUGGCUGCAACUGUUUACCAAAAACACAGCACUCUGCCAACACGAAAGUGGAUGUAUAGGGUGUGACGCCUGCCCGGUGCUGGAAGAUUAAGUGAUGGGGUGCAAGCUCUUGAUCGAAGUCCCAGUAAACGGCGGCCGUAACUAUAACGGUCCUAAGGUAGCGAAAUUCCUUGUCGGGUAAGUUCCGACCCGCACGAAAGGCAUCACGAUCUGGGCGCUGUCUCAACCAGGGGCUCGGUGAAAUUGCAGUGGCCGUGAAGAUGCGGCUACCUCAGAGCGGGACAAAAAGACCCCGUGGAGCUUUACUACAACUUGCCAUCGGACGGACGACCGCGAUGCGUAGCAUAGGUGGGAGCCGGCGAACCGCCCCUUGCGGGGGGCGGGGAGGCGUCCGUGAAAUACCACUCUUCGCGCUCGUGCGUCCUCACCCGCAGGCCGCGGGGACGGUGGCUGGCGGGUAGUUUGACUGGGGCGGUCGCCUCCUAAACGGUAACGGAGGCGCGCAACGGUCCCCUCACGUGGGAUGGCCAUCCACGAGUGAGUGCAACGGCACAAGGGGGCUUGACUGCAAGGCCCACAGGCCGCGCAGGGACGAAAGUCGGCCGUAGUGAUCCCACAGUACCGCGUGGAAGGGCUGUGGCUUAACGGAUAAAAGCUACCCCGGGGAUAACAGGCUCAGACCUCCCAAGAGUUCAUAUCGACGGAGGAGCGUGGCACCUCGAUGUCGGCUCGUCGCAUCCUGGGGCUGGAGUAGGUCCCAAGGGUUGGGCUGUUCGCCCAUUAAAGCGGCACGCGAGCUGGGUUCAGAACGUCGUGAGACAGUUCGGUCUCUAUCCGCUCUGAGCGUCUAGAGCAUUGCGAGGGGCUGGCCCUAGUACGAGAGGACCGGGCUGGACGGACCGCUGGUGGAGGAGUUGUGGGGCGUCCCGCAGGCUCCGUAGCUAUGUCCGGAAGCAAGAACCGCUGAAAGCAUCUAAGUGGGAACUGCGCCUCAAGAUGAGUGCUCUCGCUGGUGUAGCCAGGUAAGACUCCCAGGAGAUGACUGGGCCAAGCGGCGCCCACUGGACGCGUGGCGACACGUGCAGGUCAGGCGUGCGCACAGUCGAGGGCUUCCCUCC
rnacentral:rRNA from 1 species